rnacentral:rRNA from 1 species
GUCCACGCCAUAAACGAUGAGUGCUAGAUGUCGCGGGCAUUGACCCCUGCGGUGUCGUAGCUAACGCAUUAAGCACUCCGCCUGGGGAGUACGGCCGCAAGGCUAAAACUCAAAGGAAUUGACGGGGGCCCCGCACAAGCGGUGGAGCAUGUGGUUCAAUUCGACGCAACGCGCAGAACCUUACCUGGGCUAGAAAGGACAGGAACCUGGAUGAAAAUUCGGGGUGCUCUUCGGAGAAUCUGUCGUUAGGUGCUGCAUGGCUGUCGU